AACGAACGCUGGCGGCAUGCCUAACACAUGCAAGUCGAACGAGACCUUCGGGUCUAGUGGCGCACGGGUGCGUAAUGCGUGGGAACCUGCCCUUAGGUUCGGAAUAACUCCCCGAAAGGGGUGCUAAUACCGGAUAAUGUCUUCGGACCAAAGAUUUAUCGCCUUUGGAUGGGCCCGCGUUGGAUUAGCUAGUUGGUAGGGUAAAAGCCUACCAAGGCGACGAUCCAUAGCUGGUCUGAGAGGAUGAUCAGCCACACUGGGACUGAGACACGGCCCAGACUCCUACGGGAGGCAGCAGUGGGGAAUAUUGGACAAUGGGCGAAAGCCUGAUCCAGCAAUGCCGCGUGAGUGAUGAAGGCCUUAGGGUUGUAAAGCUCUUUUACCCGGGAUGAUAAUGACAGUACCGGGAGAAUAAGCGCCGGCUAACUCCGUG
rnacentral:rRNA from 1 species